rnacentral:rRNA from 1 species
GCGCACCAGUCGAGAAUAUUCGGCAAUGGGCGAAAGCCUGACCGAGCGACGCCGCGUGCGGGAUGAAGGCCUUCGGGUUGUAAACCGCUUUUCUAAGGGAAAAAUUGUGUCCCACUGUUGUUUGGAGAAAAAAUAAUAAGAAUAAGAUGGAUGGCCGUAGAGUUCCGUGACUUCCGCAGGUUUUCAUAAAAAUACCAAAUUACAGUGAGGCACAAAUUGAUGGUACCUUAGGAAUAAGAGGUUGCUAACUCCGUGCCAGCAGCA